GCUAUCAUUUCCAUGCUUGCCAUCAAAUUUUUUAUCCAGUCAGAUUGUUUUUGGAGUAGGAUGAUGAAGGCCCAAUAUGGGAUAUGAAGCUAGGAGUCCCAGAUCGAGGCCCCCCAUGGUUGCUCUUUCCUCUGGAUGGAGAUUUGUAUUCGCAGGCCUGCUAUGUUGGCUUAGGUCAGAUGGUUGAUUGGGGAUGGGACUUCGAUGGUCGUGAGC
rnacentral:lncRNA from 1 species